ensembl:lncRNA
GUUUCGGAUAUUGCUCCAAGAGUCUUUUUUGUAGGUACUGAUGCUUUACAUAUGUGUGCCAAUUUUCGUGCAUGUACGUGAAACACAGCUCGAGGGCUGUUGAUUUUUUUACGGUAGGUGGCGCUGUCGAGCCAUUUUGCCACACCCUCUUCUGAAACCUAUAUCAGACGUAAAUUUUCACCAGGUCUGACGCGUGUGCAAAGUUUCAGGACUUUUCGAGCAUGUUUAGGCCCUCAAAAAUGCGAUUCAUUUUGGAGAAGAAGAAGAAGAAGAAGAAGAAGAAGAAGAAGAAGAAGAAUUAAAGCUGCAAGCAGCGAUGAACGGGCCCUCGCACCCGGGCUCACCACCAGCGGGUGGCUUUUG